AGCAGGAAGGCUGACGUUUCGGGCCCAGACCCUUCUUCAGAAAACCAGGAGACAAACAGGAGGCUGAAAGAACAUUGCAGACCAGGCAGCAUUUAGAGGAAAGCAACAGUCAACCUUGCGGGUAUUCACCCUUCUUCAUUUCUGGAUGUGGUGGCGUGCUUCACAUGUAGAGACUCCGGCUUUGCCUUCUGACCCGCACACAGAGGAUUUGGCGUCUAGGUGAUCACCCCACCGCUGAAAUAACUGAAAGGCUGCAGUCACGCGAGACAAAGACAGAGGACAGGCUGGUUGGUGUGAAGGUACAGUGUAAAAGACAAAGCGGUUGCUCAGGAAAGAUCUAUGUUGUUGUUGUUCAUGUUCUGAAGAAGGAUCACUGGACCCGAAACGUUAGUUCUGAUUCACUCCUGUGUAUCUGUUACUCUCUAUAACAUCCUGAACACCUCGAUUUGUUUCCACGGAUGCUGCCGGACCUGCUGAACUUUUCCAGCAAUUUC